GAGAGAGCUGGAUGAGCACAUGCUUGACUCCUGUGACAGCUAUAGCAGGAGAAUUAGCUCAAGAACCUCAAGGGAAAGAACUCAAUAGGCCAAAAUGGGCUAUUAUUAAUGGGCUCUUCUUAAAGGUCUACAGCACAUUCCACCACACCAACCGGUUGGAGUAAAACUCCAACUGAGAGCUCCAGGGAGAGACUCAGAAAACACCCCUAGUGUUACUGCUUAUCCAAAAAUUGAACUUAUCUCAAUGGAAAAGUAUCUUUGGAGACCUGCUGCCUCGCUCAUGUGUUGUUGUCCUUCAGAAAGAUGGCAGUGAAGCCAUAAUUUGACCUUCUUUAUCCCAAAGUCAAGCUGGCAUCCAGUCGCAUGUUGUUUAUCCAGGGUGCAUACUGUGCUCCUGUUGGCAUGGUGACUGAUUCAAAAGGAGCAGACUGGCCAUUGACUAUCACCAUUUGCCAUCACAGCUGCUGGUGCUGCUGCUGCUGCCUCAGAUGCCAGGCCACAUGUGGACAGGCAAGAGUCAGCAGGAGCUUGGAGCGCAGAGUAUGGACUUCUACAUCGGUUUCUCAAGACAGCGCCAACCACAAAGGACACCGACAGACUCUCUAGCAUCAGCAUCUGCCACAGACAUAAGCAUCAUUUCCCCUGGUAGUACCAACCAUGGUGCAGCAGGGCCAUGUCAUGUUCUACUUUAAUGAUGGAGAUCCAUGUCUGUGAGAAAUCUCAGUGACUUUCUCUCUACUUUAGCAUUUUAAAGUGAAAGUGGAACAUUGAGAGAUGCCUCUAAUUCCCAGGAUGCUUACUGUUCGGGAAGUAACCUAGCUUUUCUCCAGUCUCUGUUCUCAGACUACUCUCCAGAGUCACCUGUGCAGA
rnacentral:lncRNA from 1 species